UACGUAGGGGGGCAAGCGUUGUCCGGAUUUAUUGGGCGUAAAGAGCGUGUAGGCGGCUAGAUAGGUCCGUUGUGAAAACUCGAGGCUCAACCUCGAGACGUCGAUGGAAACCAUCUGGCUAGAGUCCGGAAGAGGAGAGUGGAAUUCCUGGUGUAGCGGUGAAAUGCGCAGAUAUCAGGAAGAACACCCGUGGCGAAGGCGGUUCUCUGGGACGGUACUGACGCUGAGACGCGAAAGCGUGGGGAGCGAACAGG
rnacentral:rRNA from 1 species